UGUGGAUUUAAGUUUUCUAUUCAUCUGGGCAUAUAAGACCUGAAGUAUGACUGCUGGAUCAUAUGGUAAGUUUAUGUUUAGCUUUGUGAGAAACAGCCAAACUGUUUCCCAAACUGUAUGUAUCAUUUUGAUUUCCCAUCAACAAUGAAUGAGAGUUCGUAUUGUUCCAUUUUCUCAUCAGCAUUUGGUAUUGCCAGUUUUUUUUUUGGAUUUUGGAUCCAUUCUAAUAGACGUUUAGUGGUAUUUUACCGUUGUUUCAAUUUUCAUUUUCUUAGUGACAUGAUGUUGAGCAUUUUUUAUGUGCUUAUUUGCCACCUGCAUAUCUACUUCUGUGAGGUGUCUGUUCAGUUCUUUUGCUUUUUGUUUUUGUUUUUCGUCUUUUGUCUUGUCUUUUGUCUUUUUAGGGCCAAACCCAGUUCCCAGGCUAGGGGUCCAAUCCGGGCUGUAGCUGCCAGCCCACGCCACAGCAACAGCAACAUCAGAUCCGUGCUGUGUCAGCGACCUACACCACAGCUCAAAGCAAUGCCGGAUCCUUCACCCACUGAGUGAGGCCAGGGAUCGAACCCGCAACUUCAUGGUUCCUAGUCGGAUUCAUUAACCACUGCGCCACAACGGGAACUCCAAUUUCAAUUUCAAUUGUUCCCUGCUGAUAUAUAAGAAAGCAGUUGAUGUUUAUAUAUUAACCUUGGAUCCUAUGGCCUUGCUAUAAUCACUUACUAGUUGUAGGAGUUUGUUGAUUCUUUGGGAUUUUCUACAUAACAAUCAUGUCAUCUGUGAAAGAAGACAGUUGUAUUUCUUCCUUCCCCAACUGUAUACCUUCUGUUUUCUUUCCUUGUCGUACUGCAUUAACUAGAUCUUCCAAUGUUGAAAGGGAGUGGUGAUAAGGGGUUAUCCUUGUCUUAUUCUCCAUCUUAGGAAGGAAACAUCUAGUUUCUCAUCAAAUAUGAUUGGAGUUUCUCUAGAUAUUCUUUAUCAAGUUGAGGAAGUUCCCUUUUAUUCCUAGUCUGCUGAGUUUUAUCCUGAUUCUGUCAAAUGCUUUUUCAUCAUCUACUGAUAUGAUCAUAUGAUUUUCUUCUUUGGCCUGUCGAUGUAGGGAUCACAUUAAUUGAUUUUCAAAUGUUGCAUUGGCCUUGCACAACUGGAAUAAAACCCACUUGGUUGUGGUGUGUGAUACUUUUUAUACACUGUUGGAUUCAAUUCGCUAACAUUUUGUUGAGGGUUUUUACAUCUAUGUUCAUGAGAGAUAUUGGUCUGUAAUGUCUUUUAAAAACAUAAGUAGACUGAGCAAUUUCAGCGUUAUCGUCAGUUACACAUAAGCAGUAAUUAGUUUAAUUAAGUUACUGUUCUUCUGAAAACUUCAACUGUGAUAAGGCAAAAACACUGAUCAGAGGGAGGACAUGCAACACUCAGGAAUAGAGGCAGGUAUGGGUCAAGGAUAGCAGCUCAGAAGCAUGAAAAGCUGUAGUUUAUACUACUUGCUUAGUUCUCAAGUUGUGAAUCAACAAAAAGAAUCAGUCCAGGAAGAGGAGGGAUAGGAUAUUUGAGUGCCUGAAAAAAUUACCUUUUAAAAGGUUUUGUGAGAUACAACAGGCCUGCCGAAUAUUAACUUAGAAGUAAUGUGGCCUAAACUCCAGAUUCUACAACUUAUGUACUGUCUUCUAAGUCACGGAUGGAAAGGCCCUGCUUUUCUCUAUCCAGGCCUGCUCCUUCCCCUUAUUUAUUAGUUUGCUAACUUCAAACAACUACAGAAUUUUUUUUUUUUCUUUUGCUAUUUCUUGGGCCGCUCUCACAGCAUAUGGAGGUUCCCAGUCCGAUUCGUUAACCACUGCGCCACGACAGGAACUCCUUUUUUUAGAAUUUUUUUAACAAUAGAAUUUUAGCCUUAGAGUACCACCUUCACAAUUUUGCCAAUUUAAAUACUAAUUAUAUCAUUAUUUACUAAUACAUUUCAUAAAGGUGACUUUUUAUUAAAAUUUAUAUCUUUUAAAAGGAAAUUUUUAUAUGUCUACCAUUAAUAGAAAUUAGUAUUCCUUACCAAACAGACACUAUACAUUAAUAAACAUUAAAUACAUAACUCUUAAGAUUAAAAAUGUUUGUCCCUCUACCACCUAAAGUCAUCUGUUGUGUAAGCAGGUGUAAAUGUGUCCUAUAUUUAGAGAAAUACUCAUCAAAUCCACUUUCCUCCUUCAUUUCAUAAGCAAUGAAACUGAGGACCAGAAAGGAAGGUGAGCUAUUCAAGGUCACAAGCUAAUCAGUAGCUCAGCUGGAGGCGAUGCUCUCUCUCUCUUCCACAGACAAAAAUCAACUCAACUUUUCACACACCUAUGCUACUGUUCUCUUUCCACUACAUCAAGUUUAAAAAAAAAAAAAAAGCAAGAGAGGAUCUUAUUUAUUAGCUUUUUCAAUCAGCAGUCUCCAAAUUGCCUUUGUUUCUUUCUGGCAGGUUGUUUACCUGGCUCAAAAUUAAACUUUUCCUGGAAUAAAGCUGAACUGGCUAAGGAACAGGGGCAGGAAUGCCAAGGGAUAGUAGCCAGCUGUCCUAUGCCUGAAUGGGAAGAGGGGCUUUACCUGCAGGCCCAGGAUGUUUGGGAAAGGAAUCGGGAAGUCAUGAGAAGACCCUGGACUCCUGGAGGGACAGCUCAGCUGCCUGGAACCUGUGAUGUCCUCUGCUAUUGGUUUCAUAUGACUGAGGACAUUCAGAGGGUACUCAAAAUGGCACUCUCUUGAGUAUUCCCCAAGCUAACAGCAAUUUAAAAACAAUAUAAGGUGCCUUCAGUGGAUUUUUACAAAUGAUAUUCUUAGCGUAAUGCUGGCUAAAAAAAAGAGAACGAAUUUACAAUGUGGAAAUGCUAAAAAAAACUUCAGAGAAAGUGAGUAGAAAUAGGGGAAGAAAAGCUGAAAUGUGCUUAACUUUAAGAAAGGAAGUUUUUCAAAAGUUUACAAAGAAUAAAAGAAAAAGUAUAACCUGAUAUUUUCUGAUAGCUAUAGUCUCUGGAAGAAUUACACAGGAAAACAAAACAGGUGACAAUAUCUAAAGAACUUAGUGAUUUCACAAGUAGCCACCAGCAGAAAAAGGAAAAAGAGCAGAAAACUCAGUUGGAAUACCCCAAAGUGGGAUAAAAACCUGCCCACAAAUGCCUUCUUUUUUCCACUCCUCUCUGUCCAGAUUCUUCCACAUCUCACUCACCCUUCCUCCACGGAGCUUCUUCUCCUAUCCUAACUCAAACUGACUGCUCCUCCUGCAAAUUCUCUGUACUUGACAUUAUUUGUGCACUUCUUUGCCUCCCCAAUUCAACUCGAUGCGAUCUGAGACUGCAGGGCCCAUGUCACACAUAGCUUGGUGACCCCAUAAUACUUUUAAACAGUGUCCCCUACAAGUAGGUAGUAAAUAAAUAUGUGUUAAUUAAGUCAAAGAAGCCAACUAGAAAUUAGUGUUUUUAAAGGAAAUGGAAACUAGAGUAGGUAUAAAGAAUACAAAAUCUGAAUAUGCACUGGUAACAUCCAAAUCAAUUUAAAUCAAUAGUGUAACAAGCAGAAUUAAUAGGCACAGUCACCUGAAACUGCAAAAAUAGCACAGUACCUGCAGGAGACUUUCUAUGGCAUGAAAGCCUCGAAUUAAAUUCAGAGCUGCACAUAAAAGACUAAGGAUAAAUGCCACAAUCCCUGACAGAGUUGCUGGUUCUAGUCGCU
rnacentral:lncRNA from 1 species